UACGGAGGGAGCUAGCGUUGUUCGGAAUUACUAGGCGUAAAGCGCACGUAGGCGGCUUUGUAAGUUAGAGGUGAAAGCCCGGAGCUCAACUCCGGAACUGCCUUUAAGACUGCAUCGCUUGAAUCCAGGAGAGGUGAGUGGAAUUCCGAGUGUAGAGGUGAAAUUCGUAGAUAUUCGGAAGAACACCAGUGGCGAAGGCGGCUCACUGGACUGGUAUUGACGCUGAGGUGCGAAAGCGUGGGGAGCAAACAGG
rnacentral:rRNA from 1 species